AUGAGCUCAGCAUACCAGGCACUAUGUCGGGCGCCCAUCAUCCCCUGGCUUUCCCCUAUCUGGAAGGCCUCAUUGCCAUUGAAGAUUAAGAUUUUUGUGUGGCAGCUACUACAAGACCGCCUUCCCUCGGGGACCGAGGUGCUUAAGCGGCAUGGCCCGGAUGAUGGCUUGUGCCGGACUCACAUCCUAUUCUCGUGCACGGCAGCACGGGUCCUUUGGACUUGUGUCUCCGAGGCUCUGGUGCCCGACUGGAAGGCCCUAGACUUUGCAGAGUUCCUUCAGGCCAGAGCUACCCAGCCUUGGCGGCAUCGCCGCUUAUUCUGGCUAAUUAUUGGGCGAUGCCAUGGACGUUGUUGA
rnacentral:rRNA from 1 species